ensembl:lncRNA
AGAAACGCUGUAGUACGUAUUCAAGGCCACUGCGUGGCGCUGUUUCUCAACCAAAAUAAGAAGAAGACGAGGCGGAGCAUGCGCAUCAAGCCUGCGCGCUAUAUACAAACAUACGGUCGAGGAGGAGAAAGCAGUUGUUAAACCUUGUAGAAUGAGCAGAAAAUACUUUUUAAUCUUCACUUAGUAAUUCAAUUUACCAAGGGGCUGUAUUUAAAGCUACAUUAAUAAUACUUCGAUCUCCUUGGCCAAAGAGGCCAUCUCUGUUUGGAAGAAGUGGUCCGAUGAGGUACAUCCAGAGAGCUUUCCUUCCUCCCGUCUCGUCCACCUGCAUCAGAGGUCCACUUCCUUGAGUCUUGACCAUCAGCAGCCUCCGGCGGCAGGACACAACUGCACCAGCGGCCGAUACCGGGCACGUCAGACCUCCAAGACGGAUCAUUAUGGGAUGGAGG